rnacentral:rRNA from 1 species
GACGAACGCUGGCGGCGUGCUUAACACAUGCAAGUCGAACGGAGUGGCGAACGGGUGAGUAACACGUGGGUGAACUGCCCUGCACUUCGGGAUAAGCCUGGGAAACUGGGUCUAAUACCGGAUAGUGGGGGAUGGGCCCGCGGCCUAUCGGCUUGUUGGUGGGGUAAUGGCCUACCGAGGCGGCGACGGGUAGCCGGCCUGAGAGGGUGGACGGCCAAAUAGGGACUGGGACACGGCCCAGACUCGUACGGGGGGCAGCAGUGGGGAAUAUUGCACACUGGGCGGACGACUGAUGCAGCGACGCCGCGUGGGGGAUGACGGACUUCGGGUUGGAAACUCCUUUCACCAUCGACGCGGUAGAUGGAGAAGAAGCACCGGCUAACUACGUGCCAGCAGCCGCGGUAAUUC